rnacentral:lncRNA from 1 species
AUGAGAGAUCAACAUGUCCAAUCCUGGUCCACCGGUUUCUGUGAGAAACUCUUCGCUUCCGCAGAAUGUGAAUGCACCCAGGAAUCCAUGGACUGGCCCAUCAUACCAGCAAAUGGUCACCUCAAACUACUACGAACCAGAAUGUUCAAGCCCCAGUUCAGAAAAUGGGAGUCGCAUUUAUCAUGUGAUAGAUGGACCAGGUCCUCCCAUAAACUACGAUGCCAAUGGAACAAAACCUGCAUCCUCAAAAUUCGCAAACAACCUGCACCAGUACAAAAUCAUCACUUGGUACCACACCCGCAAGGUGUGACAACAAUGAAGAAGUUACCUCCUCUGGAACAACUCCCUCGCAUGCCGCACCUCCAAGCUAGUCAUGAUUCUGUCCGCGGCCCUCCACAGUUCUAUACACGGGACUCAUUUCCCCGGCACUUUCGACCACCAAGCCAAGGAGAUUAUUUGGAAGAAAUACGACCUCAGCCGCCAUUUUAUAAUGUGGGGAGUGGUCGAACCUCACGGGCCACAUUGGACGUACCACUGUCAUCAACCACCUCCGAUGACGAUGGAGGAGGGAUUGAUGCUUGCGGAGGACAUUGUGUUGCAUUUGAGAACUUUUGCCACUAUGUCUCCAGGUAA